AGCACACCCGCAGCCGGCAGUGAGAGCGGUCCCAACCCCACAGUCACGUGGCAGAGAAGUGUUCCUUUUGCAAAUUACCCCGAAUGGAGCAAAUGCGAGGUCACGCAGGGCCCACCUCCUGACGCCACGAUCUUAAUUAGCUCUUGCAGACCCGACGCCUGGGGAACAGGUGUUAGGACUUCCACACAAGAAUCCGGGAGACGCUCGGCACGUCCCAAGGGCCGGCCGUGUGUUGAGAUUUGACGGAAGGAGGCCUCGGAUGGGACCCAUGUGGGCUUUCAGAAAGAGCGGGAGGUCGUUUCACGGAACGUCCCCAAGAACGAUCACCUGUGGACAUCACUUCCCCUGGUAACUGGUCCCAGGCGCUGGCAGUAGGGACUCCAACCUUUGGACUCAGUGAAAGAGCCUCAGAGAACGAUGUGGAUCCUUGGUUCUGAAAUGAAGUGCCUCAGGACUCAGUUUAUUUGUAGAAUGAAGCAUUCAACUAAAUGAAGGUAAAAAUAGGGAACUCUACAAGCUUUCUGCAUAUAAGAUACAAGAACAGUUUUUUUCAGUGCACCUGUGCCUGGCACAUUUUCCUAGGGACACCCCAGUCUUCCUGUUUGCCUCCAGGGUCGUUGGUCACUCUGUGUGACAUUCAGCUGGUCCCCAGGUAGUUCUCCCAGAUGUUACACAUGCAGCUGGUCUCAAUUCCUGUGCUUCCACGUGACAUUUUCAUAUUAUUUGAAGACUCUUGACUUGGACUGAGUUAGCAUAAACCUCACCGGGUUUACUGUUGUGACACAUGCACUUGUGUGUUGCUGGGCCAUGUGUUUCCCUGUAUAACCCGCCUGGUUUUUCACAGCCAGAGAUGGGUGUAGUUAAAGCGCUCCAAAUCACAGACCUCCAAGAAUUGAUGUACCUUUUUGAUACAUCUCCCUCCUGACAGGUCUACUUUUUUUCCAUCUGGGCCAAAUGGUACUGUAGUUUGGCUGAUUUUCAUGUGCUCGGACAGCUGUCCCCGGAGAUCCUCAUGCAGCUUGGACGACUGUCCCCAGAGACCCCGGUGCAGCCCGGACAGCUGUCCCCAGAAACCCCGGUGCAGAAUUAGGGUUUUCCUUGGAGAGUCUUGCUAAUCCUGUUCACUCACUUUUGUGAACAGUUUUAUGUUAGGACAUGAACAGUACGUUUAUCCAAUUUUCGGCAAACACAAAGCCAGGAAGCCUAGUCUAUGUCAAGUGAUAGUCCUGGCUCAUGACCACCACAGAGAUGAGAUCAAGGGGGCAAAACGGAUGAAAUGAAAUAACAGAAAUGUCAAACCUACAUUUGCAUUAGAAACACACACGUACAGAGUGAGGAAGAGUGGGUUAGAUCAUAUUUCAGCUAAAGGAUUUAUGGGAUUUUAAUUGGAUCAAUACAAUAAGUGACACUGUGGCCAGAAAUGGAUAGUACCAGGUCCCCUCCAUCGACUCACAUGUGGAAAUGGAAAAGUCGGGAGAUCCUGGCACCCAACACUGAUCAGUGAAGCUUUCAGCAAAAUAGCUAAAUAGAGACACAGAUAAAAACACUCUGAAGAGCACUCAGCACAGAGCAUUGGGCAGCCAUCUCAGGCAUCAGCCAGAAAUUAUGGCAUCUUUGAUAUUUCACAUCCUUGUUAUGAAUACUUUAUCAUGGGAGGUGGAAAUGCUGUGUGUCUCGAAAUAACAUGAAGCGAUCAGAUGAACUAGGUUUUCGUCGAUGACUGGCCGCUCCCCAAGGCGGGAUGGGCUUACAGAUGGCGGUUACAACUGGUGUCAUGGGGCAAGGAAAACCGUCUCCGCCAGGAGCAGGAGGCUGUUGGGUCCCACACACCUGGAGGCUCACGUUCCUGGCUGAACCAACAGCUGGAAGAGAAGUUAGGGAAGAAAUCCUACAACUUUUAGGGCUUCUUGUAAAAGAGAUUCAGUGAUUAUUUGAUUCAAUAAUCUUGUAUGUAUUUUAGUAACUUUGUACUUUGGGACAACAUUCAGAGCUUUGAGAGCUAGCUGCCUGUAAAAACGGAGACAAAACAGUUGGACCAGGAGCCAGGCAAUGGUCCUCCAUAAGUUUCAUCAGGACCCAGAGGUAUAAAUGCUUGGAAGUGGCAAAUUUAUAAAUAUUUGGCUCAAAUAAUCUUUUUAGAUCAUGUUUAGUAAGUCUUGAUGUGUUUCAGUUGUGUUAUGUCUGAAGAUGUAUUUCUUCUGUAGCCUCUACGGCCAGGGCGAGCAAGUCCAGCGCUAUUUUCUUUGAGAAAGCAAACACGACUGCAUCAUCCCUUUGUCUCUGAUGUUCCAAAUGUUUCUUUAGAGCCUUUUCUUGGAGGAUGGUCAGUGCCUACCACGUGAAAAUGUCCGGUGUUCUCGAGUGUGUAAGCAUCCAUCUGUGUGUGGGUUCUGCUUAGUAGAUUGCUUCCGUUAAAAGAUUUGCCUGAUAAGCUCUUAAGUCGUAAGCAUGCCGGUGUCUUCUGCUUCUAGUCAGUUGAUUUAAGUGAAUCUCAAUCAAGAUCCUCAAAUCUCGUUCAGUAAAACGAGUGGACCCACAAAGCUAGUAUCUGGCGUCACCUACAAGUUCGGAGUGGAUGUACAUCUGCACACCCAUGCGUAUUAAUCUAACCUGUGGGAGGAGGAGGUCCGUGGUCCAGAGAGCCUGAUUUAACUCCGGUAAUUUCCCCCCACGUAGCGUCUUGGUGUGAAGGCUGCAGGAAACACACCAUGAUUUUUAUACUUUAGGAGGAAAGGUGGCUUUCACAAUGUGUCAGAAUCUUUCAGUGCAACGAACGGAGUCUGUGCACUCAGAACACCUGUUUUGGAUUUCUGAUCCUUAGAAGGGGUUACUCUUGAAACACUGGAGUAACCGUGGCCUCUAGCAGGUGCUUUAACAACCGAAGUCUGAAAGUUCUUCAGCAGACUGUGGGGUACGUCCUGGCUCCCAGGGGACUGGUCGCCCCAGGGAAGACCAUAAGCAUCGCCUGGGACGCUGGGGGGGCCGGCACUGGGACCGCCCCUCUGACGCUGCUGCUGGCUUGGGGGCUGUCUCCAGACCUCCUAUGAUUGUCUUCUCAGACUGUGAUCCCGAGUCUCGGUCACCAGAAACCGUUGGAAACAUCAAGCAGCCAUGAAUGAGGACUGGCUCAAUCACGGACUGGCUGCCUCAUUCCCUCCAAUUCUACUUGCAGACCCGAGAAUGUGUUUCCGUUCCUACUGCAUUAUAAAGAAGCAGGAGAAAACUAGUUUCCUGUCCUGCACACGUUGAUGUCCUUUAGGUCGUUUUCAAGGAUGACGCCGUGUCUUCAUUAAGCUACUGGCAGAGAGACUGACCAGAGCACCUUGGUUUGCAUCUCAGUAGAUGAAAACGUGCCUGCAGGUGGAGAUUUGCGUGGGCCGACCACGUGCGGACUCACCGCUUAUGUCACCUGUCCCCCAAAGGCCCAGGAGCGCCCAGACUUCCCUUCGUCUCAAGUUUGCCACUUGGUAAGGCUGUGUCUUCAACACCAUCACCCAGACAAAGAUUUCUUGUACCCGCCUGCACUCUCCUGCAGCAUCACAGACCCAUCAUUAUGACCUGGCCUGUGCCAGCCAGCGCUCAUUGGACGAUGACACCCCUGUGCCCUGCCUCACGGCCCACAGGCCCUUGGGGACAGAGAGCAGGCAGUGCCGACCGAGGAUAAGACAGACAAGGUCUACGCGGUGAAGUGCUGCUUUCCUUAAGAGAAAGGAAGAAAAAGAAAUGAAAGUUGCUCGUGUGUUCAGAGGUCCCCUGAGAAGCCAGGACCAGAAUACCCGCAGCCACAUGUGAGUCAGAUGCACCCCUACAGACACAGUGCCAGCCGCCCAGUGACCCAUGUCACUCCCUCCUCACAAGGGCUCCACCGAGUGACCCAUGUCGGGACUUCUCAGGGACCGAGGGGUCCAUGAUCCCUCUGAUGAGGAAGGACGACGCCUGGUCCCCGGCCGUUCACAACAUGGAGACACAGCCACGGCCCCCACUCUGCACACCUCCUGCAGAUCCCAACAUCCCGCCGUCCCUUUGGAUUCUGCAGCCCUGCCUCGGCCCCUCCGGCACCGCCCUCCCGUGCUCCGGGUCCCCAAAGCUUCCAUGCAAAGUUCUGUGGCUUCCAUGGGAUGUUCCCUGGGGCCACACAGCCCCGGCACCUUGUCCAUGCACAGGCACGGUGCCCUGCGGGAGCCCUAGCAACGCCCCACAACGCAUGCCUUUCAUCGGGUUUCUCUUACACAACUGACUUUAAUCGCCAACAGAGAAGACUCUUCGGCAAGCACUGAAACCCACCGAUGUGCACUGUCUAUGUGGGGUCUCAGGAUGUGUGUGGCACGAAAGCCAACAAUGAGGGUAACACACCGCCAGUGUUUCAGUGUGGGAAUCAGAGCCGCUGCAAAACUUGCAACGCUUGUCGCUGUGAAGAUUUUCAAACAGAUUUUCUCCUUUUCAGAUUAAUUAAAUAAUGUAUCUACUUUAAAGGACUUGCUACCAUAUUUGUCUUUUGUCAGUUUAGACAGAGGACCAUGGCAGAGGACGUGCACGCGGUUACAUUAAGGAAACAGCAACUUCGGGCGCCGGCUUCCUAAAGCGGGACGCGUUUUGUACCUGGCCCAGAAACUCCUCUCCGGAGGAGGCCUUCUCCACCUCCGUCUUUAUGAGAUGUUCUAAAGGUUUUCUUCCAAACUUUCCAUGUUUUUUAGUUCCCUUUAUAUCUCUGUCUCUUGUUGUUUAUCGUAAGCUUACUUGAGACGCUUGUAUGAUUUUAUAGUAACCGUUCACACUGUGCUUUAUGUACACUAGCGAAUGUACAUUGUAUGAUAUUUAGGAUGCUUGGUGUCAGGUCCUGACUCGGCACCGUGUUGUCUGCAAACAACAGCUCCCGGCCAGUUCCAGCCGUGGCCAUGUCUGCAUGGCCUUCAAGUUGAGAAUGAUUCAUCCUCAUCGCUUUCUGACGCCUCACCACUGACCCCACACACAGAAACCCACAUUUAUGGUCACAGUUUCUGCUGGAGUCCGGGAUUAGGCGCUCGGGAUCUCACAGGCUUCUCCCAGGGGGUCGGCCGGGCUGCGUCCUCAUCUGCGGGCUCACCGGGGGGACCAUCUCCAAGUGACGCAGGUGUAGGUGGAAUCCAGUCUUGCUGCUGGGAACCACGGGCCCUAGGUCUCUGGCCGUCUGCGUCCUGAACACGGGGCUGCCUGCAGUUCCCCACCGAGACAUCCACAGGCAGGUCAUAUCGUGGGUAUUUCUUCAUGGCCAAGGCAAGAGCAAGAGACCCUGCGGAGAUGUCCUGUAACAUGGAGUAGUCAUUGGAGAGAUCGAUGGCUUGUCACCUCUGCCAUAGCCUCCAGGUUGGAAGCAAGCCACAAGUCCUACCCACGAUGGGGCACGGGGUUCCUCCAAGGACAUCAACACGGGAGGCAGGACCAUCACGGGCACUUUAUAGUUUCCUGGACGCACCUCCUUACUCUUUCAAAGGUGGUAAACAUUUUUAAUUCAAUCGAAAAGGAUAAUGUGACAGAUACUUCAUAUAUGGCCCAUAAAGCCCACAAUAUUAGUAUUUGGCAUUUUACAGAAACUAUUGGUACACCCCAGACUUCAUGGGCUAUGCUGGGUGUGCAAACGCAGUGUAGUGAACGUGACCUGGUGUCCCCACGUCAGUUAUGAGGAAGAGGAAGAGAAGACAGAAAGUCAGAAGCUUUGUUCUUUGUGUUGUGUUGUCCAUAUCGUCAGACUGUGUUAACAUACACAACACCUGUGUGUGAAGCCAAAGCUGAAGGAAAAAAGACAUAUUAUCCCGGUACUUUGUGAUGACAUUCACUUUCCCUUUCCUUUGUCACCUGAGGCUCUCCCCCUGCCAACCUUCCCUUGUCCCGACCCAUAGGCUCUCCACCUGCUGAACUUCUUUUUUUUUUUAAUUUUUUUAAUGUUUAUUUAUUUUUGGGACAGAGACAGAGCAUGAACAGGGGAGGGGCAGAGAGAGGGAGACACAGAAUCUGAAACAGGCUCCAGGCUCUGAGCUGUCAGAACAGAGUCUGAUGCGGGCCUCAAACCCGAAACUGUGAGAUCAUGACCUGAGCCGAAGUCGGAUGCCCAACCAACUGAGCCACUCAGGCGCCCCCUGCCGAACUUCUGUUGCUGGUUCACUGGACGCCUUUGCCCUCGACAGCCAACUCAAGAUUGAAUUUCAAGUUCUUGAGAUUUUCCUUCUGGAAACUUCCCCCCAGUCCUCAAAGCCCGAGUGACAAGUUCUUCCCACAGCCUCUAAUGGUUGUGAAACGUGUCCUUACUUUUCCCUGUCCCUUCCUGUGCUGAAUACACUAACAAUGAGCAAGAA